UACGGGGGGGGCAAGCGUUGUUCGGAAUUACUGGGCGUAAAGGGCUCGUAGGCGGCCAACUAAGUCAGACGUGAAAUCCCUCGGCUUAACCGGGGAACUGCGUCUGAUACUGGAUGGCUAGAGGUUGGGAGAGGGAUGCGGAAUUCCAGGUGUAGCGGUGAAAUGCGUAGAUAUCGGGAGGAACACCGGUGGCGAAGGCGGCCUUCUGGUCGGAUACUGACGCUAAAACGCGAAAGCGUGGGGAGCAAACAGG
rnacentral:rRNA from 1 species